AACUGUUUGUUGGUUCAUUUCCCAUUCAAAGAUGAAGAACCAUUCGGUGUUUUUCAUUCGAUCUAUCUCUUAGGGUUUCUGCCAUUAUCUGUUCGUUGUUGUUCCUCACAAUUUUCGGCGGAUUAGAUAAGGAUCUCAAACAAAUUUUCAAUUUUUCUCAUCAUCUAUAUUCUUCUUGGUCAAGGUUUUCCCUCUUUUUCCUUUCUCCCCAAUUCUUUUAUCUCCCUACUUUCUUCCUAACUUUUGUAUGAAUCCCAAAUCCUACUCCCUUAAUUCUUCUACUUUGUUUUCUUUUAGAAGGAAUUCUGUUUUUGCUUUUGCAGUUUUUGGGAGGACACAUUACUGGCCUUCCUGUCCUUCUCUCAGCAUCGAACCCUUUUCAGUUUGUGCUCUGUAGUUCACCAUUUUCCCUUCCUUGGGUGGCUUUGUGCUUGAUUGAAUUAACAGGGUUGGUUGAAUGUUUGGGAAUCUUUGAAGCUGCGUGGUAUUUAGCAACAGAUUUGUUGAUUGAGAUUAGAAUUUAUAUUAUACAUUUUUCACUCCUCCAAGGAAAUCUCCUGGAGUUUGGUCUAUUCAGAGUUGUGGAAUAAUUUUUUUUUUUUUUUUCUGUUUAUGGAUUACUCAAAGAAUAAACAGAAUGAGGUAUUGGGUGUGAACAAAAUUGGGAAGAAUAUAAAGAAGAGUCCACUGCACCAACCUAAUUUUGGUAACAUCCCUUCAACACAACAGCCUCAGCCUCAGCCUCAGCCUCAGGUUUACAAUAUAAACAAAAAUGAUUUUCGGAAUAUUGUUCAGCAGCUGACUGGUUCUUCACAAGAGCCAUCUAGUAGACCACCUCAGAAUCCAGCAGCUAAACAACAAAGCUUGAGAUUGCAAAGGAUACGACCUCCCCCAUUAACACCCAUAAACCGGCCCCGUGCUUCACCUCCGAUCCCUGUUUCGAUUGCCCCGCCACAGGUUCCUUAUUACAAUGGUCAGUUUAGGUCUGCACAAUGUGAUCAAUCGUCAACAGCAAUGUUUCAAGGACAACCAGCACCUACACAAUUGCCUCAACCGAUACCGGCAGACUCAGUUUGGCCAAAACCUGCUGAUUCUCCCAUAUCUGCUUACAUGCGUUAUCUUCAAAGCUCAGCAAUAGAUUCACCUUUGAUGGGAAACCAAGCUCAGGCAUUACAACAAGCACAAGUUCCUGGUCAAAUUCAAAACCAAGUGGCUCCCUCUGGCUCUAGUUUACCACCUGACCCAACCGUGCCUACUGCGCCGUCUAGUACAAAUGGUGGUCCUGUACCAUCUCUUUCUAAUUUUCCUCCCAUCCAAUCACACAGUCCUGCAAUUUUUCCCUCCCCUACACAAUUUCAUGUGCCGUCUCCUUCUAGUUACUUAAAUUUGUUGUCACCACAGUCACCUUAUCCAUUGCUUUCACCUGGAAUUCGAUUUCCUCCACCUCUGAGUCCCAAUUUUGCAUUUUCCCCCAUGGCUCAACCAGGAAUUUUAGGUCCUGUGCCUCUUCCUCCGCUUUCUCCUGGCCUUGUAUUUCCAUUAUCUCCAUCAGGAUUAUUCCCUCUACUGAGUCCAAGAUGGAGGGAUUGGUAGUCCUACUUUGAGUGUAUUAAACCCCACUCUUGUGUUACCACUUCAGCAUAAGAGAUUGUAUGCACAGAGCUGGAUCAACCAUAUGAACUGAAAGAGGUAUCAAAGGAAAACAAAAUCUCUGUUAAAGAGGUUAGGCCAUUGCGGUGAGUAUGAAUGGGAAGAUAGCUGUAGCCUGGUAGGUGUAGAACCACAGAUAUUAAAUACCCACAUUCAUUUUAGUUGAAGAUUUGUUAUGAUGUUGUAGUUGUGGAUUAUAGCAAGUUUGAUUUUCUUUCAUUUCAUUCAUUUAACUUUUGUUGAAGGAACUGUGAAGUUGAGAAAUCAGAUGUAUACUGUAUGUUGCUCUAUUCAAGAAAGUACAUAGUUUGAUUAUACAAACACUUUGUCGCUGUCUAA